rnacentral:rRNA from 1 species
UGCCAGCCGCCGCGGUAAUACGGAGGGGGUUAGCGUUGUUCGGAAUUACUGGGCGUAAAGCGCACGUAGGCGGAUUGGAAAGUUGGGGGUGAAAUCCCGGGGCUCAACCCCGGAACUGCCUCUAAAACUCCUAGUCUUGAGUUCGAGAGAGGUGAGUGGAAUUCCAAGUGUAGAGGUGAAAUUCGUAGAUAUUUGGAGGAACACCAGUGGCGAAGGCGGCUCACUGGCUCGAUACUGACGCUGAGGUGCGAAAGUGUGGGGAGCAAACAGGAUUAGAUA